GUCUAUGGCCGUGCCACCCUGAACUUGCCCAAUCUUGUCUGAUCUGGGAAGCUAAGCAGGGUCGGGCCUGGUUAGUAUUUGGAUGGGAGACCACCUAGGAAGACCAGGUGCUGUAGGCG
rnacentral:rRNA from 1 species